GGCUGUGUUUCCAACCUCUGCAGUAUGACAAUGCCAACACAUUAGAUAUUAAUUUGAAGAAACAUGAAGGCAAAAGGUUAAAAAAGAGUAAAUGCACUUACUUCUCCCCAUUAGGCGCAAUCAACCACCUCUGCUAGCGGGUCGCUGACAAGGGCGGGAUCUUUCUACCACCAUGCUGGUAGACCUGCCCCCCUCGACCAGCUCACCCUCGCUAUAGCUAUCAUCAGAAAAGCGGUCCUCGCCACCAUCAGCAUGGCCACUAGCCUCCGUAGUCUCAUGGCUAACGUGACGAUGGUGACCGGUGGCUGUGGUGGAGGAAGAAGGUCUGAUGUCGAUGAGGCAGUGCGGCUCCGGUCGAACGAGUCCUCAUAGAUGCAGACACUGAUGGUGGUCCUCCAGGGCCUCAACUCGCUGCUCGAGGAGGCUGUUGGCCAAGGCUGCUGCGUGCGAUGGCCGAAGGCGGGGGAGAUCGGCGGGCGCCGAAGGGAUGACUCCCCGGGGUCGAUUCAAUGGCGCGGUCGAAGCAGCGGACGGCGGCGAUGCUGCAGGAAAGGUCGGAGAUACUUGGGGGAGGUGGUGGCCACGGCUACGUGGCGGCCAUGGCCAUGGUGGCGCUCGGCGAGGAGGGAGGGUGAGUGGCGAUCUGGAGAGCGAGGGGGAGGCGGAGAGGGAGAGCUGGUUGGAGUGGGUGAUUGGGGAGGGAGCCCGAGGCGUUAGAGCUGCCCUUAUCCCCUCGGCGGCGACGUGGCAGUACGGGGUGGCACGCCUGGUCCGGCGGGGACACGACCCGAUCGGAGGAGCAGUGAGGAAGGGGAUCGACUGCGCGGGGAAAGGUGGGGCGGCUUGUUGGGGUGGGCUAAAGCCUAGUGGGGCAAGGGGGCUUCUCUCCUUUCCUUUUGCCUUUCUUUUGCUCUUUUCUUUUUACAGAAAAAUGGUUUGUAACUUUUGAGCUGCCAAAAGGAUUAUGUAAAAUGUGGGACUUAGCCACAUAAUUACAUUGCAAUAGUUGGCACUGCCACAAAAAGAUUGUGAGGCUUUUGAAAUAGUUUGCAAUUUUUAUAAAUUAAAAAGGCAUUUAAUCUAUUGUUUUAGCCACUAUUUUAAACAGUUUAGUGCACUUAAACACUUUGCAAAAUGUUGUUUCACUACCAAUAUUAGUUAUGGAUUAUUUGGCACAUGAUGAACAUUUUAGUUUUCAUGUUUCAAGAAAUAUUAUAUUUGACUUUAUUUUAAAUUUGAAGUUGAACUGGUUUAGAUAAAAAUGAAUUUUAGCAAAAUUAAUUAUGAUGAUGUGGCAUCAUUAGUGGGAGAUUACUGUAGCAUGAUUCUUGGGGUGUUACAAAUCUCCUCCACUAUAAGAAAUCUCGUCCCGAGAUUCAAGUGGUAGAGUUAGGGGGAAAGUUCUGGUUACGAAAUUCUAACGGAUCUUGGGUUGCUAUUCUCGAAGAAGUUGAUCCAUAGCGUUGAUGUCUUCAUUUCUAUGCACCAAUGCAUCCUGAUGAAGUUGUCGUCCUUCCUUCAGGAUCUUCAUCGUACUUACAAAAGGAUAAGAGGGGAAACUCUACAAGGACGAAUUUUAACAAGUUUGAGCAUCAGACGGUUAACUUAGGGGAAGAAGCAUAAAGUAUCUCUCGAGUUGAUUACAUGAAACACAUCGAAAGCAUUAUAAGAGGGUACAAAAGUCUCAUACGGGUAAGAAAUCGUGCGAUGCCUAAAGUAGAGUGUGAAGGGGGGGUUCAAAGCAAUGAAAUAAGUACUGCGGCCGAAACCAAAAUAGAUCAACUCUAGGAAGGUGGCUCGGGAUCUACAUAUGAAACCAAGCGUGAGGAAUAACACUGGAAUCUGGGGGGUAUAGGAGAAUCAGGUUUCGAUCCUGUGGAACUUUAGGUUAUGGGCCCACCAUGUGGGUUAAAAGUAGAAAGGACGCUGACAUCUUGCACGGGCACGAUAGCAAGGAAGGUCAGAGGAUAGCCUGUCAGUUAUGUUGGCAACAACGUUGAUACCAAGGACGAGGGAUGAAGAGAACCAAUUUCCUGCUCGUUGAACGAGGCAGACCAAUAGGCAAAGUUCUCACCCAUCGGUGGUUACCGGUAUGUCAUCAACACUAGUAACAGGGUUUUACUGAUAGAGUUGUACACCGAGUGUUUACAUAAACAUGGAAAUAUUACUGCUUAUAUCAUAUAGAUCACAAGAAAGGUUAAACAAAACAAUGGAAAGGAAAAUGUGAUUGUUAUGAUAAUUAGACCAAUGGAAAGGAAAGGUGUUUAUACCCAAGUAUUAGAGUAUAACUUUCCCAAGGAAAGGCAGAGCAGGAUAUACAUGAUAGGGCUCCAGAUAUGAAACCAUUUAGACAAAGGGGCAAGGAAUUUAUGAGAUUUACCCAUACAAUGGUGUUUUGGAUUAUUGAUCAAGAAACAAUUAGCAUUGUGCUCCCAAUGUUCUUGUUGAUGAUCGUUGUACCACAAACAUGCUUUGGGGUAGCAUUGACAUGGUCAUUAAGGAAAGGUUAGACUUUGGAUACACAAAGGAUCCAUUGGAACAACUUAUAAAAUAAGUCAUACAAUUUCAACAAGAAAAAGAUGAUUUUGUGGCCGUCGGGCUCAACAACAAUUCAUCGAGGGGGCAAGGAUGGUAUUUCUCAUCAUGAAUUAGAUUGAUAACCUAGAAGAGCUUAGAAUGUUGAUGAUGAUCACGUCAUAUUUGUCGAGAGGUUACAUGAAGAUGUAAUCGAUCGGUGAUGACAUCAAUUCAAAGGAAUUAUGAGGCGAAAGAUUAUUGGAACCACUAGUACGACACAAACUCAAAAUCAAGCCUGCUGUUCAAGGCUAAAUGAUAUGACGAGGAAGAUCGACGUAGGCUUAGCUCAUCAUCAAAAAUUGUGCUCUAGGAAGAAGGACCAGGUAGCAUGGUUAAAAUUUAGCACGAUAAUGGUAUAGCCGAUCAGGCUAGGAAUGACUUGAAGGAUUAUUAAACUCACAAGUUAUGAAAAUUACAUAGAGUUAUUGAAUCAGAGUGCGGAAUCGAUUCAGUUAUCGGUGUUCUCGAGUGACUAACCAAGUCAAACCUAUGGAAUAACUAAGACAGUGAGAGUAUUAUUCCAACAAGAAAUCAUAGGAGAUAGUGCAAUGACACCAUAUCAUCGAGAUAUCAGGGGGCAAUACUCGAAGGUAGAUCAGAAUAGAGGUUGGACUGGUGAAUUGAUCUGCGGAAGGCAAGUGCUUUCACAUGUCCGAGAAAUGGGAUCAAAGAAGAACAAUAUGGUCCGGACCACGAUUGCAAAAGACCAAAUCCCAGAUAUAAGAUGAUCUUAUACCAAGGGGAUAAUUAAUUUUAAGAGAAGCUUCCAUGAUAAUAUCUACAUCGUGUCCAUGGGCAUGAACACAAAGCUCAAGGUCGACUCCCACUUUUCCAAUGCAUAACCUUCCAUUCACUUCUCGUUUUGAAAGUAGUAUUAGUGUUGAAAGUUUUACUUGGUGAAAUACCAGAUGGGUAUGACCCGUGAAAUCCUUCGGAUUCACAAAGAUUAGGGAAGGCAUAGGUUCAACCCAGUGGGGCAUCUUAGGAACAUAUACCACAAACUUUAAGAGAAAGAAAACACAAGCUCGAAAGCAGAGCAUGGUUGAAAAAACAGGGGAUACAUUCUACCAAAGGCAUUAUGUAUCAGGGGAAGAACUCACAAGGAUUUUAAAUAUGCAGAGCUAUUGGAUAAUAAUCCACCAAAAGGAUCUAGCAGACCAUAAAGAAUCUGACGUGAGUAUCAAUGUUCAACCAGAAGAAGUAAUGCAAGGGCAUCGAAAUAUAGAAGUCUCUGCAUAAUUUCAAAGCUUAAAUACAAAGGAAUUAAGAUUUCCGAAUCAGGAGAUCAGAAGCAGAGGCUCUGAACAAAAGACAAGUAAGUUGAAUAGAUGUAGACCGACAACCAAUCAAGGUUUGAUUUGUCAAGAACCAGCUCAUAUCAGGAAUGACUCCUGCGCUAGAGGUAUAAUGUCUAAGGAUCAAAUGAUGAUUGUGACUAUUUGCACACAUAUUGAGUCAAAGGCUCAAGUAACGAUGAAAAAGGAUACUAAUAAAUUUUGCUAGACAUAUGGGAAUUAACCAUAAUGCUGGAAGACAAGUAUUUGCAGAGCAAUAGGUUGCUGAGGAUUUCGGAAGAUCGAAUAACAUUUUGAAGAAUUUUGUGAAUCGCAUGAAUGACUGGGGAUGAACAGAUCCCUGGUAAGUGUGAGGAAUUAUUCGUAGGGGUAAUCAUGCGGCAAGGAAUUGCAAGGUAGUGGCACAAGGGAUUCUGAAAAGUCGGAGAAUAAUCCGAUGUAUCUUGUAAUAACAAGAGCAACUAGGAAUAGAAGUAUGAAUGACAUGUGUAAGAAGUUAUCCAUAGGGGUUGACGGCGGAAGGGAAUUGCAAAAGCGAUCGGUAUCAGUCUUGAGAGAACAUCGAAGAGUAUCUUCGGAAUCUUCUGGUGCACCAAGCGAUCAAUUGGAAUGAGUGGCUCUCUGGGAGGAAGUAGUUACGAGAACCUAGAGUUAGAGUUAGUAAAAUCUUUAACCUAAAUAGAAGAGAGAUCAGAAUCCUAGGGUAAAGACGAGGAAUAAAAGAUCCUAAUACCACUCAAUGGCGACGUGGGCCCGUAAGCCACACAACCAUGUUAGUAAAACAAUUUCAUAUCCUAGACUCAACUUCGGCCAAGGAGUAGGAAAGGGGGCUACCUACAGGCAGUCGGCUCCGAUACCAACUUGUGACGCCCCCGAUUCAAUAGUAACUAAUCAUACAUGCAAAUGUGUAUGAUCAAGAUCAGGGACUUACAGGAAGAUAUCACAACACAACUCUAGACAAAAAUUAAAAUAAAACAAGCUUUAUAUUACAAGCCAGGGGCCUCGAGGGCUCGAAUACAAACGAGUCAGCGGAAGCAACAUUAUCUGAGUGCAGACAUGAGUUCAACAAGUUUGCCCUAAGAAGGCUAGCACAAAAGUAUCAACGCUCGAAAAGGCAAGGCCUCCUGCCCGGGAGCCUCCUCAACUACUCCUAGUCAUUGCCGGUCACCAUGUAGUAGUAGUCUCCGUCGGGGUAGUAGUAGUCGUCGGCAGUACCAUCUGGCUCCUGGGCUCAACCAUCUAGUUGCAGCAUCUGAGAAGAAUGAAAAGAGGUGGAAAAAGGGAAGCAAAGCAACCGUGAGUACUCAUCCAAAGUACUCGCAAGCAAGGAUCUACACUACAUAUGCAUCGGUAUCAAAGAAAUGGGUAGUAGCUGUGGACUAAAUUGCAGAAUGCCAGAAUAGAGGGGAAAGCCUUUCCUAUCAAAGACUAGCAUCUUCAAGAAGCUCCAAGCAUCUUGGAACAUUUAGAAGAGUAUAGAAAAGUAGUUUAUAUUUAGCAAACAUGUUGUAGCAUUAGCGCCCAGAGAUCCUUUCUUGACUCCCUACAAAAAAGCAAUCCCGGAGCCAUCAUAUCCAUUUCUAAUGCCUCAGCAUCCAGUUCUAGUUGUAUCGAUUGGGGUACAACUCUGAGCGUCCGUUACCGUGGACACGACUAUUCGAAUAGAUAGAAUACUUUCCUGUAGGGGUGCACAAACUUACCCAACAUGCUCGAUCAACUCCAGCCGGACGCACCAUCAGGUCAUGACCGGCCUUGGCCGAUCAACACGCCGCAACCCUACCUAGUCUCACCAGAGAGGCCAGCACGCCGGUCUACAUCCUAAGCGUGCUGGGGUCUUAGGCCCGUUGCCCUUUGCACUCCUGCAUGUUGCGAACGCAGCCGGUGAGCAGACCUAGCUACAUCCUUAAAUAAGGCAGGUGCUUACACAGUCUAACCCAGCGCGCGCCGCUCCAUCGCUGACGUUCUUGAGCUUUCGGCUAAUACAUACGAUGUAGAGUGCCCGUACUUAUUCCCACGUGGUGGUUAGUGUGAAAAGGCCAGAGGCCUACUCGAAUCAAAUAUCCAAUCCGUUAGUCUCUUGGUAGUGCGUGGUAACAAGCAUAGACUCAUGAUCAUGUGACCCCGUUGCCCCGCCUCAUGGACUUACAGCAAGGGCUAGGAAUGCCCGGCCGUGCCACAUAAUUAUCUCUCGGUUACCCUCCAGGUCAAACCAACUUCUCAUCACUCACGGGUAUCCCUCGGGGUCGACCCGGUGUCAUCAUGGUUAUGUGGUAAGUCAAAGUAACCCUGUUUCCCAAACAGCAAGGGGGAAACUCGAGGAAUCACCCUCAAUGGAUUCCCACUCGAUGUAACUAUCAAGGUGGACUUGAAGGAAUCACCCUCGGUGGUCCACACUUGAGGGGUUGCACGACAGAGUCGUUAUCGAGAGUGGUGAAGGAGGAAUCACCCUCGAGAGUGGUGAAGGAGGAAUCACCCUCGAUGAUCACGACCGAAUAGCUACACUAUAGGGUUAACAUCAGAAGUGCUGACGAGGGAUCACCCUCGGCACUCAAUAGUAACUUUAUAGUCGUAGAACUAAGGGGAUGAUGUGCGGUGUCGGGCCUAGGUAUCGACCACGUUGAUUGAGUCAUCAAACAUAAAGCGGGGCAACUAGGACAAGGUGGGGGUCACUGAUGGAUCUCUAACCAACCUAUACUAAACAGUUUAGGAUAAGCAGGUAAGGUAUGAAAGCAGGGAACAAAAACAGGCUAUGCAUCAGAAUAUCAGCAACCAAGUACAGUAACAAAAUCUAAUGCAAGCAUGAGAGAGAAUGAAAUGGGCGAUAUCAGAAUGAUCAAUGGGGGUUUGCUUUUCUGGUUGCUCUGGCAAGGAGGGGUUAUCAUCAAUGUAGUCGAUCACGGGGAUCGCCGGCAGUCUCGGGGUCUAUUGGAAAGAAGUAACGAAGGGGGAACACAAUAACUAACAGAGCAAUCAAAUCAUCACAAAGCAUAACAUGGUAGUACACGGUGCUAGGGGUGACCUAACGCAGUACUAGGUGUUACCAGCGAAGGGGGAAAACAACCAAGAACGUAGUUCCAGUGUUUGGCCUUUUUGGACAUGUGAAGUGAAGGGGGCAGUUGUAGGUUCACUAUGCUAGGGACGCGUGACGAAUGAACAGACUACGUAUUCGGAUUCAUCUCGAAAUUCUGAGCAACUUUCAUGUACAAAGUAUUUUCAUCGAUGAUACGAUUUAUUUUAUAUUGAUUUCUCAAAGUUUUAAACAUUUUCUGCAAUUACUGGAUUUAAAUUUAAUUCAAAAUUAAAAGGAUACAAUGCUAUGGGUACUCAGCGAGCGUACCCAACAGUGCACGUGUGUGGCCGACAGUGGGGCCCGGCUGCUGAGUCAGCAGCUGACCGCUCAACCCUUAUCCACUGGAAUAGUGGAGGGUGGCCCUACCUGUUAUAGGCAGCUGGCUUAAACUGAGGGUUAUAUUAAAAGGAGAUUGAUUAAAGGUGUGGGGCCCAUGUGUCAGGGGCAUAUUAACUUAACAAGGGGUUAGUUUUGUUAGGUAAUUAGGGAGAGGGGCCAAGUAGUCAGUGCGUGAUUAGGGGGAUGUUAGCGGCUAAUGGCGCCAUGUCAGCGCCGUUUAACGGCGACAAGGCCGGGCGCUGGUGAUAGCCGUGCGCUCACCUCCGAUGGUCAUUCGGGACGGGGAUUCGACCUGCGUGACGCGCGCGUCAAGCCGCAUUCGACGGUGGUGGAAACCAGGAUGGGGACGGCGGCAGUCGGUGUCAACAUCGAGCAGGGCGAAGGAGGACGGGGCCGCGAGCGGAGGGGGCCAAGGGCAUGUGCAGGCGACAGAGGAGGAGCGCGAGCGGCAGUGGGCGUGGCCAGGGGCUCACGGGCGCAGUAACCGGCACGGUCGGUCAUGGCCAGAGGCCCACGAGCGCGACCAGGGGGGCACGCUGUCGGGGCGAGGCGCACACGCACGGGAGUAGGGCUCCGGCCGUGGCUAGAGGGGGGACGCGGGCGGCACAAAUGGAGACGAAAACAGGGGGAGGACAGAAAGGCGGCCUCACAUAUGUUUGUAAGGGGGGCAGCGGGCUCGGGGACGACGUGACGAUGGCGAAUUUGACGACCGCGACCGGUGGCUGCUGCGGAGGAAGAAGGUCCAAUGUCGAUGUGGCAGUGCGGCUCUGGUCGAACGAGUCCUCGUAGAUGAUGCAGACGAUGAUGGUGGUCCUCUAGGGCCUCAACUCGCGGCUCGGGGAGGCUGUUGGCUAUGGCUGCAGCGUGCGACGGCCGAAGGUGGAGGAGAUCGGUGGCGUCGAAGGGAUGGCUUCCCGGGAUCGAUUUGGUGGCGCAGUCGAAGCAGCGGACCGCGGCAGUGCUGCAGGGUAGGUCGGAGAUACUUGGGGGAGGCGGUGGUCGCGGCUACACGGCGGCCAUGGCCACGAUGGCGUUCGGCGAGGAGGGAGGGUGAGCGGCGAUCUGGAGAGCGAGGGGGAGGCGGAGAGGGAGAGCUGGGUGGAGUGGGCGAGUGGGGAGGGAGCCCGAGGCGUCGGGGCUGCCCUUAUCCUCUCGCUGGCAACGUGGC
rnacentral:lncRNA from 1 species